CCCUAAUUUGUACUUUUGAAUAAAUUUGUUAAAUACAUAAGAAGAGAGCGAGUUGGCUAAAAUAUCUGGAACAGUCGAAGCAACAUAUGUUCAAUGUCAGCACCUCCAUGCCCACAGUACGGGCAUAUAACAUCUUCAAUAUUCUUCAAUUAAACGCAAACUUUUUAGGUGAGUGGGCACACGGCAAUGUCCAAAUCUUAAUCUGUUAAUUACAGUUAUCUGCUCCUGAGAGCUUAGUGUGGUGUUGGCAUAGCGAGGUUCGGUGGGCGGCGUCUUUUUUAUACCGGUAUUCCAACCAAAGUUGCUUCAGUGAAACGGAGAAUUCAGCAUGGAAAUCUGUAAAUGGAACUUUAAGGAGUGCGGAGUGAUCAAUGUCAAGAUUUCCAAUGGUAGCCCGGUCAGCUUCUUCAUUGCUCGUAAUUCCGGAAUGUGAAGUCAGAGAUUCUGUAUAUGCUUUAACCAACAGCGGAGAAAAGUCUUGAUCUUUGUAGCGUCGUGAACGAUUUCGGACACAGACUUUCUUAAAAUCAGCCUCUUCAUAAGAUGUUUUGAAGAAGAAAAACAAAGGAUGUUGUUUUUCAACGUGAAGUUGCUAAUAAGUUGAUUAUUGUCUUUGUCUAUAUUGAAGUUGUUACCCCAAGAUUCUUGAAGAUCUUUUAGGUCAUAAAAAUCAUCUUAUGUAAGCUCUUUUAAAAUAUAAGGCAUUCCUGGUUUUUGGCAGUGCAUAUUAAAGUAGCAUAUUGUUGUGGGCAA